AAAGUCUAUACUCAUGUAAGGCUCAACUAUUAACCACUUAACAAAGAACAGUAAGGGAACUGCAUCCAAAUUCAUCAUUAACCAUGUAUUACACAAAUUUUAAACACUGUCGGCAAAGACAAAAAUAAUAUGACAAAUUGAUAUAACAGAAACAGCAAGAUCUUAAACUUAGCUCCUCACAAACAAAGGCAAAUAGUAGCAAUCUAGAGGAAGUACACACUACACAAUGAUAUAAACGAAUUUUUAGAUAAAUAAAAUAGACACUCCAAAAAUAUAGCACUAUAAAGAGAGGGAGAGGGACAAAAAAAUAGAGGAAUAUAAACUUAGAUGAUAUUUUUUACACCAAAACCAACUUAUUACGAAAACAUUAAUGAAAUACCAAAAUAAAUACAAAAAAAUGAAUCAACUGUGACUGAGAUAAAUUAAGCCAUGUAAUGGAUUACAAUUACAAUCAGUGUUUGAUAUGCUUGAUUUUGUUCCACCCUUUUUUGCAUGAGUCUCCAACAACCUUCACCCCUUUCUUCACGAAUUUCUUUAGUACCUUGGCACUGUCCUUCACCUUCUCUUCAAACCCAGCCAUACCCAGAAAUAGUUAAAGGUUAAGAGCCUUGUGUGGAAAAAGAAAAAGAUAUAAUAGACAAAGAGAAGUUGCAAGUUUGUCUUGUAGAAGGUGUUGGAAAAAAGAGAGAAGAGAAAGGUAUUUAAAGUUAGAGGCGUAGUGGGAUCCAACGCAUUGAAGUAUGAUAGGUCACACAUCACUGGCAACGUUAUACUAAGGAAAAAGGUUCGGAGGGAGAUAUAUAUAUAUAUUUAGAUAAUUAAUAAAAUUUUAAAAACAUAUUAAAAAAUUAAUUUUAAUUAAAAUUUAGUUAUAAAUAAUAAUAUAAAAAAAAAGAUAAAACAUAAAUACUCGUUUCUACGAAUAGAAAUAUUAUGUCGAUAUAUAAGUUUUCUAUGUGCUAACAGACAAC
rnacentral:lncRNA from 1 species